rnacentral:rRNA from 1 species
GACAGAGGAUGCAAGCGUUAUCCGGAAUGAUUGGGCGUAAAGCGUCUGUAGGUGGCUUUUUAAGUCCGCCGUCAAAUCCCAGGGCUCAACCCUGGACAGGCGGUGGAAACUACCAAGCUGGAGUACGGUAGGGGCAGAGGGAAUUUCCGGUGGAGCGGUGAAAUGCGUAGAGAUGCGGAGGAACACCGAUGGCGAAGGCAGCCCCCUGGGCUAACACUGACGCUCAGGCACGAAAGCGUGGGGAGCAAACAGG